UACGAAGGGGGCUAGCGUUGCUCGGAAUCACUGGGCGUAAAGCGCACGUAGGCGGCUUCUUAAGUCAGGGGUGAAAUCCUGGAGCUCAACUCCAGAACUGCCUUUGAUACUGAGAAGCUUGAGUCCGGGAGAGGUGAGUGGAACUGCGAGUGUAGAGGUGAAAUUCGUAGAUAUUCGCAAGAACACCAGUGGCGAAGGCGGCUCACUGGCCCGAUACUGACGCUGAGGUGCGAAAGCGUGGGGAGCAAACAGG
rnacentral:rRNA from 1 species